rnacentral:rRNA from 1 species
GACGAACGCUGGCGGCGUGCUUAACACAUGCAAGUCGAACGAUGAAGCGGGUGCUUGCACUCGUGGAUUAGUGGCGAACGGGCGAGUAACACGUGAGUAACCUGUCCUUUUCUUUGGGAUAACGGCUGGAAACGGCUGCUAAUACUGGAUAUUCAGGCUGUAUCGCAUGGUGUGGUUUGGAAAGGUUUUUUCUGGGAUUGGGUGGGCUCGCGGCCUAUCAGCUUGUUGGUGGGGUGAUGGCUUACCAAGGCUUUGACGGGUAGCCGGCCUGAGAGGGUGGUCGGUCGCACUGGGACUGAGAUACGGCCCAGACUCCUACGGGAGGCAGCAGUGGGGAAUAUUGCACAAUGGACGAAAGUUUGAUGCAGCGACGCCGCGUGGAGGGUGUAGGCCUUCGGGUUGUGAACUCCUUUUUCUCGCGAAAAAGGCACAGUUUUGGCUGUGUUGAUGGUAGUGGGGGAAGAAGCGCCGGCUAACUACGUG